AUACUUACUUGGCAAGGGAGCUACCAUUAUCACAACUGUAGUUUUCCCAGUAAGUUUUUUUAUUGCACUCUAGAUUUUCUGACCUUUAAGAUUUCCCCAAAUUUAUGAAACUAACAACAUAGCUUGUGGUAGUGGGAGAUGUGUUCACGCUCAUCCCUG